AAAUUAUAUAUUUUAUUUUAUGUUUUUCAAACAUGCAGCAAAUAGAAUAAAGAGUAUAUGCCCAUCUAAAAGGAGGUCUUUAUGAGAAUCCUUUGACAAACACACAGCAGGUAGUCUAGGAUGUAGAAAAGUCAUCAAAUACUUGCAGGUGAAAUCAAAUUCACAAACACAAACUGUUCAACAAUAAACUUUUUUUUUCCUCCUUGUUUUAAUUGCCAGUUUGAACAUGAUCAGAAAUAAACAGCUUGGAUGACACUUCCCUGCAUGGAGCAAGACGCUUGUUGCUGCUUUUGCUGUUUCAGGCUCCACAGGUACCUGAGACGGCAAAAGCAGAGGAGCUGCAGCACGUUGGGUUUGUACGGGUCAGCUCCACACUCCAGAUACGACCCUGCAGCCUGGCACUCCGUGCUAGAUAUCAUGGCUCUUCAUUUGUUCCUGGGACCAGACUGGGGCCCAACACAGCCUUGCUGCUGCCUCUGCCUGUGAGCAGUCUCUGCUGCCCUGCUCCACAUCACUUCCCCCUUCCCUUGUGUCCCCAUGUCUCCAUGAGCCCACAGCCCUCUGCUCCAUCUGCAGCUGUGCUUUGGGAUGGCCUGUGGGAUGCAGCAGUGCUGAAGAAAAGCUGCUCCGUGCGGAAGUGAGGCCGCAGCAGGCACACAGCCCCACGUUGUGGGAUCCCUCCCUCUGCAGCAGCUCUUAUGGGGUCAGGCCCGCAGCACCACAGCAUCCCUUGAGCAACUGCACCAUGGGAGCAUCCUCAGAGCUGAAGGUACAGAAAUUAGAAACAUUCACCAUUGAAGGAAUACUAAUUCUGCAGCAACAGACUUGAAAGUUACUGUAACAUACAUGCUCUGAACAUCAACUGUGGUCUGCAGAAGAUAGUGAGAUGUCUUCUGAGACAUGUACUGGAGUUAUGAGCACUCCCAUCAGAAGCUACCUCUCACCGCCCUGGUCAUAGCCUGAUGCAAAGUUGCCCAUAAGCUCCCUUGGACAUCUGGCACAAUUUGCAGUUUUGCUGUGUUUUGUUUGGUUUUCUUGAGCCCAGCUCAGCACCUGAAUUCCAGACAGAGCUUACACACCCCAAAGUGUGCGGCAGGGCCAGGCUGGGCCAUGCACAGCUCCAGCUUCCAGCAGCCUUUUCAUUUCAGGAAUC
rnacentral:lncRNA from 7 species